rnacentral:rRNA from 1 species
AUGGCGCCGGUGAGUCUGCCGCCGGGCUUCCGGUUUCACCCAACUGACGAGGAGCUCAUCAUCUACUACCUUAAGAGCAAGAUCAACGGGAGGCAGAUUGAGCUCGAGAUCAUCCCGGAGGUUGAUCUUUACAAGUGCGAGCCUUGGGACCUUCCAGAAAAGUCAUUCCUCCCAAGCAAAGACCUGGAAUGGUACUUCUUCAGCCCGCGAGACCGCAAGUACCCGAACGGAUCGAGGACGAACCGCGCAACCAAAGCCGGAUACUGGAAGGCAACUGGGAAAGACCGCAAAGUGAAUUCCCAGAAGCGUGCAGUUGGUAUGAAGAAGACCCUUGUGUACUACCGUGGCCGAGCCCCGCAUGGGUCUCGCACCGACUGGGUCAUGCACGAGUACCGCCUCGACGAGAGGGAAUGCGAGAUCGAUAAUGGCUUACAGGAUGCGUAUGCAUUGUGUCGGAUUUUCAAGAAGACAGCACCCGGGCCAAAGAUCAUGGAGCACUACGGCGCAGCGCAGUACCACGGGGAGCAGCCUCAGUGGACGCCGAGCAGCGUCGAGCGCUCCCCGACACCAUGUGAUGGAAGAGGUGGUGGUGAUGACUUCGAGAGCAGCAGCUUCUCAUUCCCGACGGAGGCCCCAAUGACUUCAGGAUCCAUGCACGGCAGUGGGUUCGGGAUGCAGAUGAUGGGCAGCAUGCCUCACGAGGACGGCAGGUGGAUGCAGUUCUUGAGUGAAGACGCCUUCAACGCCACCAACCCCUACUUCAUGAACCCAGCUGCUGCCUCCAACUUCUCAUGCCUUCCAUCCAAGGUGGAUGUUGCACUGGAGUGUGCAAGGCUGCAACACAGGCUGGCCCUGCCGCCAUUGGAGGUGGAGGACUUCCCGCAUGACGUCAGCCUUGACACGAAGACCGGCAUACUCCAGAGCAACCCCAACGAGGUCGACAUUCUCCAGGAGUUCCUGUCGGUGGCCUCGGCGUCUCAGGAGCUGAUCAAUGGCUCCGGCAGCAGCAGCAGCUACCCUGAUAUGUGGUUAGGUGCCGGCACCAGCAGUGGCGGCGGCCACUACAUGAACGAGCUGUCCUCUCUCGUUGAUCUCGGAGCGGCGAAGGCGAAGGAGGAGGUCGACAAUUUCUACCAUAUGUGCGGCAUUGGCGCGUCAAUGAUGAGGCGUGAUGACGAACCCGGCAGGCUGGUUGAGAUCAGUGACAUGCAGGAGUUCAAGGAAGAGAAGAAGCGGCCGGUUGAGAACCUCAGAGGUGUCAAGCUGGUGAACAAUGACCUUGGAGAGAUCGUGGUGGAAGGAGAUGAAAGCAAUCCAGCAGAAGGCAUCACGCACUAUCCUAUACAAGAUACUGCAGAGAAUUCAGGAGAAGCCGGUCACCACAUGACCGAUCAUACCACUGACGAAGGCGGCAUCGACACGGGCCCUAUCUUCUCGCAAUCUCAGCCUGACGACUUCGCUCUCGCUAUUGGUUUCGACAACGACGGCGACGACAACACCAACCCCAACGCGUCCUUGGACCUGUACGGGAAGGUCGACGUGCAGCGCGGUCUCUUCGUCUCGCGGGUCGGCGCGGCGAAGACAUUCUUCCACCGCGUCGAGCCGCCGAAGAAGGUCAGCUUCCACCUGAAUCCAGCAGCGAGCGAGGUCAGCAAGGCGAUCGAGAAGUUCCAUUAUCUCCCCGUCACGUCCAAAGUUAGUGGUAGCGGUAGUAGCAGUAGCAGGGUCUCCGUCUUUGGCAAGGUGAAGGCACUCAUCAGGGGCAAAUUCCCGACGAUGAGGAGGCCGCCAUCACCAUUGCAGCACCAGAGGCCGGAGACGACAGUGAGUGAGCUGCUGCAGAUCGUGUCACUCCUCCUGGCACCCAAGGAAGCCGUAACCGAGCGAGAAGAAGAGAUGGUCAGCAGGAAGAAGGUGAAGCCGGGACGACGGGGUUGCGACGGUGGGUGCAGCAGCUCGUGGCAGCUUGGGCUCCCCGGCAAGGGGAGCAAGGGUAUUUCCAGCAUGUUUUUGAGUGGGAAAUGGGCGUUUCUAACCUCUGCAUUGGCGGCCGUCCGCGCCCCAGGGCCGUGCAAUCACUUCUGA